GCCUUUGUGGUGUAGUGGUCAGCACGCUCGGCGCGUAUUCGAGAGGUCCGCGGUUCGUGUCCCGGCAAGGGCA
rnacentral:tRNA from 1 species